UUGGAAGAAGAAUCUGGAUCUUACCCCCU
rnacentral:piRNA from 1 species